AUUUUAGGUGUGACAUGCCAAAACGCAAGCGACUGUCUGAUGGGGAGGAAGGGGAAUCUACUGUUGCUACUCCAGUUGUAGAAGGGAGACCCAAGAGACGUCGAAAUGAUACAACACUGGUUGAUACAAUACAGUAUAUUUUUGAUGCAUUACGUAA